rnacentral:lncRNA from 10 species
UGACGGCCAUGUGUGAGGGCUCAUGCCUAUAUAGUCCCAGCGCUUUGGGAGGCUGAGGUGGGAGGAUUGCUUGAGACCAGGAGCUCAAGACUAGUCUGGGCAACAUAGUGAAACCCCAUCUUUACAAAAGAUAAAGAAAACUAGCCAAGUGUGGUGGUAUGUGCCUGUAGUCUCUGCUACUUCAGAGGCUGAGGCAGGAGGAUCACUUGAGCCCAAGAGUUCAAGGCUGCAGUGAGCUAUGAUUGUGCCACUGCACUCCAGCCUGGCUGAUAGAGACCCUGUCUUUAAAAAAAAAGAAUGGAUGUGAGGAAUGAUGGGAAUAGUGUUAAGAGAGUGUAAGAAUGCCUGACAAAUAGUGAUAACAAUAAUAACAAUUAUUAUUGUUAAAACUCAGUAUUUAUAUGGUGCUUACUAUGUAACAGGCACUGUUUUAAGUGGUUUAUAUAAACCAUUUGAAUUGUAGUAAUUAGUCUGUAGUACAGUGAUUAUCAAAUCAUAGUAGGAGCUCAGCAAGAAUUAGUAUUCUUCUAGGUUUUAACCCUUUAAGUUUGUUGCCAAGGAGAAUCUCCUCUUAAGGGCUUUGUCUCAGCUCACAGUGGAGGAAAAAGGAAUGUAUGAUUAGGACCCAGGGCCCGUCUUCAUUUAGGGUGGGAGAGGUAAGAAGAGACCUUGGACAAGUUAUGGUAUCUGAGGUGAUAUUGGAACCAAAAAGGGCCCAACCCAGAAUAAAUUUGGGAGUGUGGAGUAGGUAGUUGGGUUCCUUGGAAGUGCCCUGACUUAUCUCUGUGUCCUUUUUGUCUUUGGAAGAACCUGCCUUACUGCUGAGUGAUUGCUCCUCUUUCCAGUCAUUUCACCCGGCUGUCCCUUCCCUGACUUCUGAUCCUAGUCUCCCUGUCACAAGGAGCCUCUGUUCCCUCUCUUAGCAGCCUCUGCUCUAGCUGAUCUCUAUUCCAGGUGGUGUGAGAGGGAGAGUGUUUGCUGUGGCACAGGCACCCCUGAGUUUGGAUUUCCCUCCAGCUCUCAUUCAUUUACCCAUUCAACAAAUAUGUACUGAACACUUAACCAGGUGCCAGAUAUUCUAGGGAUGGGACAUACUGCUGUGGAAAUGGCAAAAAGGUCUGUAGAUUCAUGGAGCUUAUUUUCUUGUGAGUAAAUAGAUUUUGUGAUCCGAAAUCAUGUAGGGGCAGUGAAGGCAAUAAAGCAAUGAAAGGGGAUAGAGAGUGACUGAGAGGAGAGGUGCUCAGGGAAAACCUCCCUGAGGAGAGAACUGGAUGAUGAGAUGAAGUGAGCCAUUCAGAACUGUGGGGAAAGGGUCUUGAGGAGGGAACGGGCUUGGAGAUUCUAGGACCAGCAAGAGUGCCCAGGGGAUUGGAGUAUGGGAGCCAGGAUAAAGUACUGGGGAUGAGGUCAGCAAGAUCACCAGGGCCCACAUCAUGUAGAGCCCUGAGGCUGUGACAGCCAUUUUGGAUUUUAUUCCAAGUCUCAUGAGAAGCCAAGGGUAGGUUUUGAACAGGGGAAUGAUAGGAUCUGAUUUUGUUUCUUAUAAGUUUACCUCCUGAGUAGAGAAUAAAUGAUGGGGGGUGGGCAAGAAAGGGAGCAGAGAGAGCAGUUGAGGCUAUUUCAGUAAUCUAGGAGAGAAAUAAGAGUUGCUUAGAGUAGGAUGCUGGAGCUGGAGGUGGUGAGACAGGGCCGGAAGCAUGAUAUAUUUUGAAGGUAGAGAAAAUGAGAUCGCUGAUGGCUUGCAGUUGGCACGUGAAGGAAAGUGAGGAUAAAGAAGGACUUCCAGGUUUUUGUCUUGAGCAACUGGAAAUACUGAGAUGGGAAGACUGGGGGAGAAGCAGAUUUGAAGGCUUUGGGGAGGAGAGGGGAAUCAGAAAUGAAAUUUCAGAUUCUUUUUAAAUAUCCCUAGUGGAGAUGUUGAAUAGGCAGUGGGUAAGUAGUCAGCAGCUUAGGGGAGAGAAGAGGACGGAAAUUUGAAUUUGGGAAAGAUUUAAAUUUGGGGAACCAUUGAUGGAUAUAAGUGGUAUUUAAAGCCACAGGAUUAGGCUGGGCACAGUGGCUCAUGCCUAUAAUCCCAGCCCUUUGGGAGGCUGAGGCAGGUGGAUCACUUGAGGCCAGGAGUUUGAGACCAGCCUGGCCAACAUGGUGAAACCCUGUCUCUACCAAAAAAUACAGAAAAUUAGCCGUGUGUGGUGGUGCGUGCCUGUAGUCCCAGAUACUCAGGAGGGUGAGGCAGGAGAAUUGCUUGAAUCCUGGAGGCAGAGGUUACGGUGAGCCAAGAUCAUACCACUGCACUCCAGCCUGGGUGACAGAGCAAGACUUCGUCAAAAAAAAAAAAAAAAAAGCCAUGGAAUUGGAUGAGAUGUAGGAGAGAAAGGAAAUAGUUGGAGAAGAGGAGGUCAAGGACUGAGCCUUAGGACAAGCCAGCAUUUAGUUGGGCAAAGGACAGUGAGAAGGAGGAAAACCAAGGGAGCGUCCCAGAAGUCAAAUGAAGAAGGUGUUUGAAGAGGAAAGGAGGAAUCAGCUGUGUCAACUGUUGCUGACAGGCCAAAUGAGAGAACAGAGAGCUGCUCAGCAGGCUUGGCAAUGUGAAGAUCCGUGGUUUCAGUGGGGUGGAGAAAGCCAAACUGGAGUAGGCCCAUGAGAGAAGGUGCAACAACUUCACAUAACAUUGUGUGAAAAGAGUCUGACCCAAUAGCAUCCAUACUGCACAAUUUCAGUUCUAUCAAGUUUGAAAGCUGCAAAAUUAAGCUGCAUUGUUGAGAGAUACACAGGUCAUAAACUAAAGAGAAAUGUAAGGAGUUGAUUUCCUUAAAAGGAUAAAGCUUGCAUGUAUAGAGGGAGAGGAUUAUGAUCAAGAAGGAUGAGUGGCGGCCGGUAUGGUGGCUCAUCCCUGUAAUCCUAGCACUUUGGGAGGCUGAGGCAGGCGCAUUACUUGAGGUCAGGAGUUUGAGACCAGCCUGGCCAACAUGGCAAAACCCUAUCUCUACUAAAAAUACAAAAAGUUAGCCAGGUGUGGAGCCGCACGCCUGUGGUCUCAGCUACUCAGGAGGUUGAGGCACGAGAAUCGCUUGAACCUGGGAGGAUGAGGUUGUAGUGAGCCAACAUCGCACCACUGCACUCCAGCCCGGGUGAGGGAGUGAGACUCUGUCUCAAAAACAAAAACAAAAAAAACAAGGACAGAUGGAACAUGUUGUCACACAUUGGGUGGUAUGGGGUUCAUCAGGCUGCACAUGUAUGUUCUGUGCAUUUUUUUGUAUGUUGUAGUUUACAGUUACAAAGAAGAUAGCAGGAAGAAAUGGUGAAAAAAGUAGGUAAGUCUUUUAAGGAGUUUUCCUGCAAAGCGGACAGAGAACUAGGUCUGGUGGUGGUCGUCAAAGGAGAACUUUUUUCUCCCUCCUUCCCUCCCUUCCUCCUAGAUACUUGCAUGUGUUGUAAAGAGUGAGCACAGUGGUACAUCUUUUCUUAGCCACAGUCAGCUGCCCAGGAGCAGUGCUGAAUGGGCAGAGCUGGAUUUUACAGGGUUGGGAUUUUGCCAGGUGAGUAAGAUAGAGGGGAGAAGUGGGACCAGGGAGUUCCAGGUCUGUGAACGGGCCUGGCUGAGGAGCUGGAUCAUGAAAUCUGAGUCAAGUAAGAAGGAAAUUGAGGACACGAGUUGGGUAUUGCAUAGUGUUACUGUGUUAAGGUCAGGGGUCAAAGACUUACUGGCAUGGAGUAACCAGAGUAAGUGAGCUGGAAAGAUGAGUUGUCAGGGCAGAGAGGGGUGCUUGGAAUUGAGGCUUUGGAGCUGUGAAGUGACAAGAUGCAGGUAUUACCAUGGGAGUGGGCAGCUGAGGUGGGGUAAAGGAGAUGCUCUGUGGAAGGGAGAUGAAGGCACUGAAGUCAGCCAGAAACACAAAAACUGGUGGUGGUGAGUGAGCAGAGUGGCAGUGAGCCCCAAGGCUUCCAGUUUUCUCCUUGGACAAGUCAUCG